AUACGGAGGUGACAAGCGUUAUCCGGAUUUACUGGGCGUAAAGGGCGUGUAGGCGGUCUUGCAAGUCAGAAGUGAAAUUCCUGAGCUCAACUCGGGCGCUGCUUCUGAAACUGCAGGACUUGAGUGCUGGAGGGGGUAGCGGAAUUCCUAGUGGAGCGGUAAAAUGCGCAGAUAUUAGGAAGAACACCGGUGGCGAAGGCGGCUAUCUGGACAGUAACUGACGCUGAGGCGCGAAAGCGUGGGGAGCAAACAGGAUUAGAUACCCUGGUAGUCCACGCUGUAAACGAUGAUUACUAGGUGUGGGGGGACUGACCCCUUCCGUGCCGCAGUUAACACAAUAAGUAUUCCGCCUGGGGAGUACGGCCGCAAGGUUGAAACUCAAAUGAAUGGACGGGG
rnacentral:rRNA from 1 species